GCUGGGCGUGGUGGCGCACGCCUGUAGUCCCAGCUACUUGGAAGGCUGAGGCAGGAGAAUUGCUUGAACCUGGGAGGCAGAGGUUGCAGUGAGCAGAGAUCACGCCACUGCAUUCCAGCCUGGGUAACAGAGCAAGACUUCGUCUCAA
ensembl:misc_RNA Metazoa_SRP Metazoan signal recognition particle RNA